GCUGGGCGUGGUGGUGCAUGCCUGUAGUCCCAGCUACUCAGGAAGCUGAGGCAGGAGAAUCGCUUGAAACAGGGAGGUGGAGGUUGCAGUGAGCCGAGAACAUGCCAUUGCACUCCAGCCUGGUGACAGAGCGAGACUCUGUCUUAAAAAAAAAUAUAUAUAUAUAUAUAUAGUAAUUUGAGACGGUGUCUCGCUCUGUCACCCAGGCUGGAGUGCAGUGAUCAUGAUCAUAGCUCACUGCAGCCUUAAAUUCCUGGACUCAAGUGAUCCUCCUGCCUCAA
rnacentral:SRP_RNA from 1 species